UGUGAAUUGGCGUUUGUUUUAAGCCAGACGAGAAAUACUGGAACGUGACAACAGUCAGUUAUGCUCAUGGCCAGCUCUAAGAACUGAGCUGAGAGCAUCCUGAAGUACAAGUUUCUGUAACCUGAGUUAAAGAGCUGAGCAGCAUAUCUGUGAGCUGGAACAAGGUGAACAGGGUAAAAAGAAGAUGCACAACACCAGUGUCAUUAGUUGAGCCUUGGCUUGGACACAUUCUAGAAUUCCUAUCAGAGGAAACCCAAAAAUAACAGUAUUGAUCACCAUCAUCUGUAUUUGGUUGGCUGGUUAGCUCUAGCAGAGAAAGAUGCAGGAGAGGGAUAGAAGAUAUUUCUGGUAAUACUGCCAGUGCUAAUGUUCUCGUUAGCUUAAUGGUAUAUAUGCCACUGGAGAGAAUUUUAGGAGUAUUUUGGAUGAAGGCUAUUCAGAAAUCUGCAUAAAAGCUACUGCAGUGAGAGUCUUACAAAGUUACUUGUAUUUAUAUACAUGUAACUCAGGCUUUCAGAGGAGGCCCUUGUCAAGUCUCAUAAUCUCCAUACGCUCCUAUUUUCACAGCUGUGAAUAAAGUGUUUCAGGAGAUAGGGGACAUUCUGAAAAAUGAUGACCGUGCCCAAAGAACCCUUCAUAUAAAGAGAUAUAACCAUCAGUGAGAUAAAAAUAAGGAUGAACUGCACAAAAGAGAAAACCAGUUGAUGAUUUUUACCCCACUGUGUAAGAAUACUUUAGCAAAAGGCUUCCUGGAGGAACACAAGAUUUUGCUGUAGAAUUAGCAUUAUUUGAAAAAUGCAUUUUUCACUUGGUUUUGAUUGGGAAAACUCUUUCACAUGGUGAAUAUGGUCACAGAAUGAUUGAAGAUUGCGGGAAAAGAGGAAAUACCAUGGCAGAAAGAAGGCAGCUGUUUGCAGAAAUGCGUAAGUACUUCCUAGAAAUUUCACUGCAUUAGACCAAGCCACUUGCAAUGCAAUGUCAGUAAAAUUUAUGUAACCUUUCCAUCUCAAGUAACUGAUACCUUUGUUUCACAAACAGUUUAAUAUUGUGAAAACAAAACUAUAGGAAAAUGGGCUGAUUUAACCAAAUAUCAGGAGAAAUUAAUUUCCUAUACUGGCUUUUGUAUUUUUUCUACAUUACACUAUAUUAUUUAAAUU
rnacentral:lncRNA from 1 species